rnacentral:rRNA from 1 species
GACGAACGCUGGCGGCGUGCCUAAUACAUGCAAGUCGAACGCUUCUUUCCUCCCGAGUGCUUGCACUCAAUUGGAAAGAGGAGUGGCGGACGGGUGAGUAACACGUGGGUAACCUACCCAUCAGAGGGGGAUAACACUUGGAAACAGGUGCUAAUACCGCAUAACAGUUUAUGACGCAUGGCAUAAGAGUGAAAGGCGCUUUCGGGUGUCGCUGAUGGAUGGACCCGCGGUGCAUUAGCUAGUUGGUGAGGUAACGGCUCACCAAGGCCACGAUGCAUAGCCGACCUGAGAGGGUGAUCGGCCACACUGGGACUGAGACACGGCCCAGACUCCUACGGGAGGCAGCAGUAGGGAAUCUUCGGCAAUGGACGGAAGUCUGACCGAGCAACGCCGCGUGAGUGAAGAAGGUUUUCGGAUCGUAAAACUCUGUUGUUAGAGAAGAACAAGGACGUUAGUAACUGAACGUCCCCUGACGGUAUCUAACCAGAAAGCCACGGCUAACUACGUGCCAGCAGCCGCCGCAG